GAGGGUAUAGCUUACCGAUAGAGCACGUGCUUAGUAUGCAUGAGGUCCUGGCUUCAAUCCCCAGUACUUUCA
rnacentral:tRNA from 1 species